rnacentral:rRNA from 1 species
GAUGAACGCUCGCGAUAGGCUUAACACAUGCAAGUCGAGGGGCAGCACAAGGUAGCUUGCUAUCUGGGUGGCGACCGGCGCACGGGUGCGUAACGCGUAUGCAACUUGCCCUAUACAGGAGGAUAACCCGUCGAAAGACGGACUAAUACUGCGUAUGCUCACAACUUGGCAUCAAGUGGUGAGGAAAGAAAUUCGGUAUAGGAUAGGCAUGCGUCCCAUUAGCUUGUUGGUGAGGUAACGGCUCACCAAGGCAACGAUGGGUAGGGGAACUGAGAGGUUUAUCCCCCACACUGGUACUGCGACACGGACCAGACUCCUACGGGAGGCAGCAGUGAGGAAUAGUGGUCAAUGGGCGCGAGCCUGAACCAGCCAAGUCGCGUGAAGGAUGACUGUCUUAUGGAUUGUAAACUUCUUUUAUACGGGAAUAACAAGAGUCACGGGUGACUCCCUGCAUGUACCGGAUGAAUAAGCAUCGGCUAACUCCGUG